AGGUUAUUAGAUUAAUUAAAAUAUUUGAUUUCGGCUCAAAAGCUUAUGCUUAAAGUCCAUAAUUACCUG
rnacentral:tRNA from 1 species